GUGAAAACGUUUUCAAAUAAACUAGAAAUAAGUUCCAAACGCUACAUAUCAUGCAAAAAUCUGAAUCCUAGAAUCGAUUCUGGCAGCCAUUGAAAUCCCGUAGUGCAAAAAGGAAGUAUGGGUAAGAAAUCAUCAGCCACUAUAUCGAAAAAAUCAUCAGCCCCGGACCUCGGCCACUUCGGAAAGAACUCAGCAGCAGUGACUUCCUCCAAAAUUUGCAGCCGCUCUUUGAACGAGGGGGAAUCGUCAAAUGCAGACCCCGUUCCGCUUGAAGAAACUCAUUCAUGGAAUAAUGUCAACUUCAAAUCUUCCUCAACGGUUUAAGCGACACAACUAGAGAUUGGGUGGAAAGAGGAGAUGGUAUCACUUCUUUCUAUUAAAGAUCCGUUGAUGAAGCCUACUACAUGUUGGAAGACAUGGUAGAGUUUGAUUAUUGGAAUUGUUGAUGGACAACCAAUAUUCCAAGAACAAUUCAACAUUUUCAGAGCCAGGGAUUGACAGCCAACUUCAAGAAAUACUUAACAUGAAGAAAACAUAUGGUUUGAAGAUGAUGAAAAAUCACCUCCUGAGGAAUUUGAGCCUCUUGAAAUACUAGAACGUGAAGAAGUCAAGGACAUAUUAAAGGAAUUUCCACAUGAGCACUAAAGCCGUCAUCAUAUUAUGUUCUUUUCACACUUGAGCCAAAAGCGAGAUUCUCUUCUAAAGCCCAUCAAAAGAAAUCAAGUCAAGUUGAUCACAUGUGCAAAUUUUCACAUCUUGUCAAGCUUGAGGGCAUCACAACA